rnacentral:rRNA from 1 species
CCUACGGGGGGCUGCAGUGGGGAAUAUUGGGCAAUGGGCGCAAGCCUGACCCAGCAAUGCCGCGUGAAGGAAGAAGGCUUUCGGGUUGUAAACUUCUUUGACAGGGGAAGAGCAGAAGACGGUACCCUGAAAACAAGCCACGGCUAACUACGUGGCAGCAGCCGGGGUAAUACGUAGGUGGCAGGUGUUGUACGGAUUUAGUGGGGGUAAAGGGGGGGUAGACGGGAAGGCAAGUGAGAUGUUAAAUCCGGAGGCUCAACCUCAGUAUUGCAUUUGAAACUGUUUUUCUGUAGUCCUGGAGAGGCAGACGGAAUUCGUUGUGUAGCGGCGAAAUGCGUAGAUAUAAGGAGGAACCCCAGGGGCGAAGGCGGUCUGCUGGACAGCAACUGACGGUGAGGCGCGAAAGCGUGGGGAGAAAACAGGAUGAGAUACCCCGGUAGUC